rnacentral:rRNA from 1 species
GACGAACGCUGGCGGCGUGCUUAACACAUGCAAGUCGAACGGUGAACCCGCUUCGGUGGGGGAUCAGUGGCGAACGGGUGAGUAACACGUGGGCAACCUGCCCCCGGCUCUGGGAUAACUCCAAGAAAUUGGGGCUAAUACCGGAUGUGACCGCUGACCGCAUGGUCUGGUGGUGGAAAGGGUUUCCGGCUGGGGAUGGGCCCGCGGCCUAUCAGCUUGUUGGUGGGGUAGUGGCCUACCAAGGCGACGACGGGUAGCCGGCCUGAGAGGGUGACCGGCCACACUGGGACUGAGACACGGCCCAGACUCCUACGGGAGGCAGCAGUGGGGAAUAUUGCGCAAUGGGCGAAAGCCUGACGCAGCGACGCCGCGUGGGGGAUGACGGCCUUCGGGUUGUAAACCUCUUUCAGCUCCGACGAAGCGCAAGUGACGGUAGGAGCAGAAGAAGCACCGGCCAACUACGUGCCAGCAGCCGCAGUAACAC